GAGGUUCGAUUGGCUCAUGGUUCUGCAGCUCCACAGGCAUGGCACCCCCCUCUGCUCGGCUUCUGGGGAGGCCCUCAGCGAGCUCUUCCUCAUGGUGGCAGGAGAAGCAGGAGCAGGCACGGCACAUGAAUUAAAAUUUGGAGAGUGUUCGGGGAAGAUGGUAGCUUGAGCUGUGCUAUUCCAAGGACAGGGGAAUGCCCAAAGAAACCUGGCCUGCUUGAGACCAUAAAGCCAGUGUCUGCGGAAAAGAAAAACUAUCAUGAGUUGAAAUCAUCAGAACUCAGAGGGAAAGUGGAAACGGAGCUGGGUGGUAAGGAAUUGCACAGACCCUGAGCACGGACAGUGAUGGUCUUGGUGAGGAAAACGGUAAGAAAAAAGAGAUUAAAUGAGAUGUGUUCAAAGGUCAGAAAACAGAUCACGUGGUGGUGCAGCAGUUGCCUCCUGCUGUGUAACAAGUCGCUCCAAAGCUUGGCGGCUUAAAACAAGGCACAUUUAUUAUCUCACAGUUUUUGUGGAUCAGGGAUCUUUGUGCGGCUCAGCUGACUUGGUCCUGAGUCAGGUGUCCCAGCAGACACUCUAGUACAGGAGGCGGCUGAGGUUCCAGAGGACACUUGAGUGCAGCUUGUGGUCGAGGUUCCAGGGGUCAUUUGAGAAAGUUGCUGAGGUCCCUGUGGGCACUCGAGUCGAGGAUGUGUUGUCUCAGGUCCCAGCAGAUUUUCAGGUGGAGAAGGUAGUUGAGACCUCAGAGGACACUGUAGUGGAGGAAGUCGUUGAGGUCCCAGAAUGCACUCGAGUGGAGAAGGUGGUGGACAUUCCAGAGGACACUCAAGUACAGGAGGUGGCUGAGGUCCCAGGGGGCACUCGGGUGCGGGAGGUGACUGAGGUUCCAGGGGACACUCCACUGGAGGACGCUGCUCAGGUCCCUUAGGAAGCGCGUGUGGCUGAGGUGUCAGGUCUCAGUAAAGCUUCAGCUGGAGAAGGUGUUUCAGGUUCCAGAGGAUGUUCCAGUGGAGGAGCUGUCAGAGGUUCCAGAAAACCUUCAGUUGCAGAGGGUGGUUGAGGUCCCAGAGGACCUGGAGGUGGAGGAGGUGACUGGCAGCCCAUCAAUGGUCUGGAAGGGCCAGCCAUGAGGUAGGGGAAGUAGGGCCAUUCUGACAGAGGACGAGGCUCCUGUUCAGCCAUGUUGACCUGCAAGGCAGGAGGAGAUGUUUUACAACGUUUUAAUACGACAGACAAAACAGCAACACCCACACAAGCUGCACCUGACGCCGCAGGUGACGGUCCCUUGCCCCUUCCCCUUCUUCAGGUUUCUAAAUGGCAGCAUCAAUGCCAUAAAGCCUCCCUUCCACUGAGUCCUGCUGACAGCAGGGGAGUGAAGACAAGUCAUGGGGACAAACUGUUGUCCCCACAUGCCACUGUGUCUGUCUGCAAAUGUAGGCAGGCUGGGGCCUGUCCCAGGGAAGACAGAGGCACCACGCAGUAAGAGAGAAGCAUGUUUCUGACCCGGGGUGUCUACGUCGGUCCUCAGUCCUCCCUCACCACCAUCACCAGAGCACGUUUCUUGUAUCGGAUCCAGAGAGAGAAAGAGAGGAACGGAAAGCCUAUUGCUCACACGAGUCGCGGCUAUUCUUAAGAGAAUGUUCUCCAGGCUUUUCAUGUUCUGUCUCUGAGUCUCAGAACUCUGCAAGGUCAGUGUGACCGCCCUGCUCCAAAUCUAAAAAAACGGAGGCUCCCAAAGGAAGGAGAGCAUUCACCCCGGGCCACGCAGCUUGCAGGAGGCAGAGCUCUGCUGCAGGACCUCUCAUCCCCCCUCUGCUUCCCUUCUUGACAAAGGGUCUUCUCCACUCUAGAGGUGCCACCUGUGGGCACAGAGAUCUCUGGGGAGAGGUGGAUUCCUGAAGCUCUGCAGGGGAACUGGGAGAGGGUUUCUGACAGAACAAUCCUGUGUCCAGAUGUUACUUUGGCACAGCUAUCAUGUUUCUUUUAACUUCCAGGGAAUACCAACUUUUAAGUGCACUAUGACAUAGAACAUAAUAACUUUUUCCAUGAAAAAUGGGGUGGGAAUUCGAAACAACAGAAGUUUAAAAAAUGUGUUUGACGGCAGGGGUGCAAGUCCCAUCACGUGUGAUCAGAGGACCCAGCAGCUUUUGAAAACACAGAGGCCAACAGGAACCAGCUUCACUGCGCAUGGCUGAAGGGCUUCAUUGGGAACCGUCCUUGUAGGUAAUGAGUGACGCUCACUCUUCACUACCUCACAGCCAGGGCACAUUUUCUAUUGCAAAUGUGGAACCUCUUACCCCUAGAAUAUUAGACCGAGGGUGCCGCCGUGUGGGGGUGGGAGCGAUUUUGCACAACACAGUUACCAACAGAGAUGGGACGCUGAUGAAUUAUGGAAUUGACUCUGUCCAAGACUAUUCAAAAUGGCACACAGCACAUGCUAAUGUUGGAUGAAUGAGCUUUGACUUUUUUCACUUCUGGGAUUACAGCAGAUAUUCUAAAUGUUAAUCACCUACCUCACAGGACAAGAGAAAUAAAAUCACAAAACAAAACCCUACAUGUUCUGGAAAGGGGACCCCACAAUAUUUGGGGUAAAGUGGAUCAGUCGGGGUUCCCUGGGCCAUGAGCCCUCCAGCAGUGGAGCUCAGUGGCAUCUCCUCGUGUGAUCUCCGCAGACAGAACACUGGAGGCCCUUCGGUCCUCGGCCCCUCAGCACGCACGGCCUCGGGCGGUGCCACAAAGACGGCCGGCUGGGCAUGGAGAAGCCUGGAGUUCCCGGGAAGAUGCCGCUUCGGAAAGGCCUGGCAGAAAAGGCUCCCGGAGCCCGCAGGGCAGAGGCCGGGCCAGCAGAGGGCGCCUGGGAAAAGGCAAAAGGGUCCCGUGACGGGCAGCGUGGGAACGGCCCCGGCUGCACCUGUUCUUCAUGGCUGAUGAGACAGCACGAAGGUAAAAAACGCAUUUCACCAAAAGCUCUGCUGGCAUCCUAUUGAACACUCAUCAACCUGCUUAAUUUUCAUACCGUAAAUGGUGGGUAGUUUCAUUAUUCUUAGGGUGGUAAAUCAUUCCCCUGAUUUUUAAUAAAACCCGAUAUUCAUAGUGACGUUCAGAGCCGUGGACUGUUGUAAACCCUUUCUUCUGAUUGAUGGUUACAAGCGUACCUCCACGGGAAGUUAGCAUGCUCACUCCGAGGCCGGUUAUCCACAACGAAGUGCAACUGGAGGAAUUCCCAGGGAAACAGCAAUUAGAAUAAGCAUCCAGCGAAUUUCAGAGAAGACAGGCCUGGGUGCAAACUUCCAGGCAGCACAUGGAUGACCUGGAAUAAAACAGCUGGAAUAAUGGAAGGCUCAGUGACAUUUACCGCAUUCCAGUCCCAAGGAAUCAUCCUUAGAAACCCUCAGCCUCCUCCAAGAGGAAACCGCAGCCCUCAGCUACCAGCAGGGAAUUGGAAGUUAACCGUCUCGUGGUUCCUGCAUGGCUGGUAGUGUUUUUAAGCAUUGUGAAUGUGAGGUGUCUUUUUUCUUGGUCUAAUGCAGGGAUGUCCAACUUUUGGCUUCUCUUAGGCUAUAUUAAAAGGAGAAUUGUCUUGAGCCACACACAAAAUACACGAACACUAAAAAUACCU